CUCGGUCUGUCCCGUAUAUAGUGGGGUAGUCUACCAUCGCCGACUCCGGCAUCGCCGCUAGAUCGCGUUUUACCUCGUCGCACCCCUACUACUUCCUCUCCAACCGGCCAACAGCAAUCCCUGACGAUCGACGUUGGUUUUGGGGAGGAGCGAAGAACUGAUGGAAGAGACGCCCGCAAGUGGGAUCUGCAAUAUUUUUGGGGACUCGGAGGAGUUCAUCCUGAUCAAAAUAAAGUCAUCAGACUACUGGGAGAGCUCGGCGAGAAAUAGUUCAGGUCGCCAUUUCGAGUUCACCUCUCAUGCAAUACUUAAGGACUGUCGUCAAGACGCACUAGCUCAUCCGCGGCGAAAAAU